UAGCCACGAACAAUGAAAUCCAAUUGAUCUAAAAAUAAUUAGCUUGUUUUUGUCGUCUUUUUGACUUACAACUUUAAUCUUUCUUUCGCAGCACUGUAAUAUUUAAUCAUACAGCAAAGGAAUUAUUUGAUUUCUUGUUUUCAGAUUGAUUUUUUUUUUAUAUUUUCCAUUGUUUUCUCAAAUGUUAGCUGUUAUAGUACAAGAAUGGAAAUUCUGUUGUAUUUGGUUUCCAUCUGUCCUCCGAAGUCAAUAAUAGCUCAUUUUUGCAUAUUCAAUUUCUUGGCCUCUUUUGGGCAUUUUGUUGUGCGGCAAAAAAUAAUAUAAUUUCUUGUUUUCUUAGUAGUUUUAAACAUCAGUUUGAGUUCUUUUUGUUGAUAUUUUUAAAUAUUUUGACCCUUCAUUUAUUCAACUUAAAAUAAACAAUUUCUUGAAACCUAAUCUUGUGUGUGUGGUUACUGUGCAUUUGGUUUAUUUUUAGCGCUUGUGCUUGUGCUGAAAUGUUAAAAAAUCGCCGGAAAUUUAGGGGUGGGCUGGGUGCAAUUUCAUUCGGGCAUCAGUGGGUUAAUAGCUUGAACGAUUUGUAAAAUCGUAAAAUGUAAAAUGGUUGCCAUAAAAAAUUGUGGUUGCUAAAAAAAAGAAACUUAAUAUCCAGGAGAGGACACUUCGUUUAAUGUUACAUGAAGGUCUACUGCACUGAGCGACACGUUAGCAACACCUUCUUUUACCAAGUUGUUAUGUUAAGUCACUUGCCGAUUAAAAGAUUGUAAUAAUGGGCAAGAGAAAGAGAAGGAAGAGACUCUGACGUCUGGUAGAAGAAAUGAUUUAUUCAAAGCUGCUGAGACUGGGUAACAAGUUGCCAAUGGCACACAAAACCUUUCAAGUCAAUCAAAUUGAUCAUUUUGUAGAUUUACGCUUAUCUAAACUUGACUCGAUCCUAUUUCCAUACAUUCCUUUAUAUUUCCGUAAUGUAUAAUCAGUCACACUGGUUGUAUUAAAAUGCUGCACUAAGUAAAAUGAAAUUAAUCUUAAGUUAAAUCAUUUCGACUUGAUCUCACUAAGUAUGGUUAACCCAUGGGCACCUGCAUGAAAUUGCGCACGACACACUCCUAAUUCCCUGGUUUUUUUGUGGAAUAUUUCAGAGAGAGCGUAAGCACAAAAAUAAACCAUAUGUACAGUAACCACAGACAAGAUCCGGUUUUAAGGCAUCGUUUAUUUAAAGUUGAAUAAAUAAAGGGCCAAAAUAUUAAAUCAAAGGGGGACUAUCAUUACUCAUGGAUAUGGAAGUGAGUUCUGAUGCUGUGGUUUGAAAUUGGUAAGUUGAGAUGGCUUUAUAAUUUAUUCUGGUUUUAAUAGAAUAUAAUCGUAUCUCCAACAAAAUUGUCAUUCUUGAUUGGUUUUCUGUAUGCGUACAUGUGAUGUGUAACUGCUGCAGAAACUUUCGCAUCAGUUUUCUAUCGCAACUGGUGAGCUGCUAAUGUUAGGUUACUUUCAUUCUCAGUGGUGGAUCUAGGGGAGGUGCCAGGACCCCCGGGUCCCUCCUUAUUUUGGGUAAAAAAGAAAAAAUCACAAAAGGAAGAAAAGCUGGCAGGGCAAGCAAAACAAUCCCCCCUUAGCUCAAGGUUUGGAUGUGCCACUGAUUCUCUAGGUCCACAUGUGCAAUGAAACUGAAUGAGAGCUGUUAUAAAUAGAGUGGACUACUGUAAUACAGCCUUCCAAUGGAGUACACUAGUAUCAAUGAGAUCCUUUGUAGAAUGGCCAAUUCUGUUUGGCACAAAGGUGGUCAUUCCUCCCUCAUAAGAUGUAGUAUUUCUAUUCGGUUAUACAACUUACUGUACAUCCUGGAAACAGUAGCUCUCAUUGAACAUGUCACACAUCUCUAUGAAGCUAAAGGAGUUUUUAUUUAGAGAAAGGAAACUGUAUCAUAAGCUUUUUGUCAGCAUCUUGCAUUGAAAAACGUUGUGUAACGUUAUCUAAAUUGGUGUUAGCAAGUCAGAACCCAGCCAAACCAUAUGAAGUUCAAAUUAUUUGUCGUGAGAAAAAAAUCUCUUUUUCGGUUGACUUAGGUAUCAACGUAAACACAGAAACAUGAGGUUUUAUUAGCAAAGUUGGUCACAACACAAAUGUCCCACAUCUUUACAGCCAUACUGCAAGGUAGACAUCAACAGUGCAAUCAAAUUAAAAAUAUAAAUGCGAGCUCAGUGUACCAAGGCUACAAAAAAACAGAACUAUGAAUAACAUCAAUUGACUUUCAUUGAUAAGUUUGUCCAGUCCACCAGUUACUCAGUAUGGCAUACAGCCAUACUGCAAGGUAGACAACAACAGUACACUCAAAUUAAAAAUAAAAAACUGAACUCAGGGUACUGAGGCUAAAAAAACAGGACUAUUAAUAACAUAGAUUCAGGUUUAUUGAUAAGUUUGUACAGUCCUUCGAAGAACACCAUUUCGCACUACCUCAGAUUCUCGCUUCAAGUAAAAGAAAAUGCAGCAAGAAGACCCUUGC